ACAAAUGUCAAAGAAUGUGGAUGAAGACAGUUCUUUGGAUUACAUCUAGCCUCCUUUUCGUGGCUUGGUGUGUGGGCAACAAUCGAAGUAGACCACAGAACCAGUCAGGGACACCAAAAAGGUUGAGGAAAACUUUUUCCACCCUGCAAUCAACAUUGUUAAAAACUGCAGAAAAAGCAGUCAAGUGUUUUGUUGAUUAAUCCAGUACACCAAUGAGUUUACUCAACAAAUGAGUAUUGAAGACCAAUAAUGAGGAAAUAAUAUGCCGGCCAGUUUUCUACACUCACAGAAAUGAAAGUUUGCCACUUUUACAUGUUUGUA